rnacentral:rRNA from 1 species
ACAACUUUCAACAACGGAUCUCUUGGCUCUCGCAUCGAUGAAGAACGCAGCGAAAUGCGAUACGUAAUGUGAAUUGCAGAAUUCAGUGAAUCAUCGAAUCUUUGAACGCACAUUGCACUCUCUGGUAUUCCGGAGAGUAUGCUUGUUUGAGUAUCA